rnacentral:rRNA from 1 species
AGGACGAACGCUGGCGGCGCGCUUAACACAUGCAAGUCGAGCGAGAACCUGGCCUUCGGGCCUGGGGAAAGCGGCGAACGGGUGAGUAACACGUGGGUAACCCACCCUUGGUACCGGGAUAGCCCGAGGAAACUCGGAUUAAUACCGGAUGGCCCAACAGCUCUUCGGGGCGGUUGGAAAAGGUAGCUUCGGCCUCCGACCAAGGACGGGCCCGCUGCGGAUUAGCUUGUUGGUGAGGUAACGGCUCACCAAGGCGACGAUCCGUAGCUGGUCUGAGAGGACGAUCAGCCACACUGGGACUGAGACACGGCCCAGACUCCUACGGGAGGCAGCAGUGGGGAAUCUUGCGCAAUGGGCGAAAGCCUGACGCAGCGACGCCGCGUGGGGGAAGAAGGCUUUCGGGUUGUAAACCCCUUUCAGGAAGGACGAAGCCACUCGGGUGAAUAGCCCAGAGGGUGACGGUACUUCCAGAAGAAGCCCCGGCUAACUACGUGCCAGCAGCCGCGGUAA